AGUGAACGCUGGCGGUAGGCCAACACAUGCAAGUCGAACGGCAGCACAGUAAGAGCUUGCUCUUACGGGUGGCGAGUGGCGGACGGGUGAGGAAUACAUCGGAAUCUACUUUUUCGUGGGGGAUAACGUAGGGAAACUUACGCUAAUACCGCAUACGACCUACGGGUGAAAGCAGGGGAUCUUCGGACCUUGCGCGAUUGAAUGAGCCGAUGUCGGAUUAGCUAGUUGGCGGGGUAAAGGCCCACCAAGGCGACGAUCCGUAGCUGGUCUGAGAGGAUGAUCAGCCACACUGGAACUGAGACACGGUCCAGACUCCUACGGGAGGCAGCAGUGGGGAAUAUUGGACAAUGGGCGCAAGCCUGAUCCAGCCAUACCGCGUGGGUGAAGAAGGCCUUCGGGUUGUAAAGCCCUUUUGUUGGGAAAGAAAAGCAGCAGGUUAAUACCUCGCUGUUCUGACGGUACCCAAGGAAUAAGCACCGGCUAACUUCGUG
rnacentral:rRNA from 1 species